GUCUACGGCCAUACCACCCUGAACACGCCCAGUCUCAUCUGAUCUCAGAAGCUAAGCAGGGUCAGGCCUGGUUAGUACUUAGAUGGGAGAAACCAAGCUAACAAAAUCU
rnacentral:rRNA from 1 species